rnacentral:rRNA from 1 species
CUACGGGAGGCAGCAGUGGGGAAUUUUCCGCAAUGGGCGAAAGCCUGACGGAGCAAUACCGCGUGAGGGAAGACGGCCUAUGGGUUGUAAACCUCUUUUUUCAGGGAGGAAUUUUGACGUGUACCUGAAGAAUAAGCAUCGGCUAACUCCGUGCCAGCAGCCGCGGUAAGACGGAGGAUGCAAGUGUUAUCCGGAAUCACUGGGCGUAAAGCGUCUGUAGGUGGUUGAACAAGUCAACUGUUAAAUCUUGAGGCUCAACUUCAAAAUCGCAGUCGAAACUGUUUGACUAGAGUAUAGUAGGGGUAAAGGGAAUUUCCAGUGGAGCGGUGAAAUGCGUAGAUAUUGGAAAGAACACCGAUGGCGAAGGCACUUUACUGGGCUAUUACUGACACUCAGAGACGAAAGCUAGGGUAGCAAAUGGGAUUAGAUACCCCAGUAGUCCUAGCCGUAAACAAUGGAUACUAGAUGUUGAACAGAUCGACCUGUGCAGUAUCAAAGCUAACGCGUUAAGUAUCCCGCCUGGGGAGUAUGCUCGCAAGAGUGAAACUCAAAG